rnacentral:lncRNA from 1 species
CUUGGACUUUUGAGUUAAUGCUGGAGUGAGUUAAGACUUUGGGGGACUGUUGGAAGGGCAUAAUUGUGUUUUGAAAUGUGAGGACAUGAGAUUUGGGAGGGGCUGGGGCAGAAUGAUAUGGUUUGGCUGUGUCCCCACCCAAAUCUCAUCUUGAAUUGUAUUUCCCAUAAUCCCCACGUGUUGUGGGAGGGACAUGGUGGGAGGUAACUGAAUCAUGGGGCCUGUUACCCUCAUGCUGUUCUCGUGAUGGUGAGUGAGUUCUCAUGAGAGCUAAUGGUUUUAUAAGGGGCUUUUCUCCCUUUUGCUAGGCACUUCUUGCUGCCACCAUGUGAAGAAGGAUGUGUUUGCUUCCUCUUUUGCCACAAUUGUAAGUUUCCUGAGGACUUCCCAGCCAUGCUGAACUCAGAAGAGGAAGUUGGAGGCAUGUGAGGUGCAGGAAGGAUUCUAAGCAGUGGUGCUGGCUUUGAAGAUGGAAGGCAUUGUACCUCAAUGAAUGUGACUGGUUUCUAGAAGCUGAGAGUAGCCAGCCCCCAGCUGACAGCCAACAAGGAAACAGGGACCUUGGUUCUCCAACCACAGAAAAUAGAUUCUACCAACAAGAAUGAGCUUGAAAGCAGAUUCUUCCCUCGCACUUAAAGAUUCAUUCUCCAUGCCUCAGUACUCUGUGCUAUUUCCCAGAAGGCUGAUCCUUAAGGACUACACCUGUGGGAUCCCUUGUCACUGGCAAUGGGACAAUGGGAGGUGCCAGCAGAAAAUCAGAGUGAUGAAGAAUGAGGUCUGGGUAUUUAUCUCCUGGCUUUCUGUAAGUAUACAAGGUGAUAAAAAGGAAAAUGAUUCCUAACAACUUGGGGGUAUGUGGAAGCAGGGGAAGGGGGUGCUGUGGGCUGAACUGUGUUUCCUCAAAGUCAUAUGCUGAAGCUCAAACUCCUAAUGUGACUGUAUUUGGAGCAGGGGCUUUUAAGAAGUAAAGUUAAAAGAUGUCACAAGGUGAACGUCACAAUCCAUUGGAAUAGGUGACCUUAUAAGAAAAGGGAGAGAGAUCUCUUCCUCUCCAGACACACACACACACACCCACACACACCAAGGAAAGGCCAUGUGAGCACGUGGUGAGAAGGCAGCCGUCUGUAAGCCAGGAAGAGAGACCUCACCAGAACUCAACCAUGUUGGCACCUGAUCUCGAACUUUCCAGCCUCUAGAACUGGAAGAAAGUACAUUUCUGUUUAAACUACCAGGUAUGUGAUAUUUUGUUAUGGCAGCCUGAAAAGACAUACAUGGGCAGGGAAGACUUCUCAGAGGUAUUUCUUGAGCUGAGACUUUUUGUUUCCUAGUGGUGGGAGGUAGGGUUUUCCAGGCAGAGAACACCAUGCAAUAAGGCACAAAAUUUCAGGGAAUAGUAUGUAUCAAGCACUUGGAUCAUAGAGUGCUUGGAAGGGAAGUGGAAGAGGCUGGAAAAGCAAGCAGAGGCCAGAUGUUAGGGUUUAAUGUCAAAGGCCAAGAAAUUUGCCUAAAAGAAGUCCAGUGGGAAACUACUGAGGGUUCUUAAGUCAUCUGAAGUAUGUAAUAGUAUCCAUGUUCAAAAGACCAUUCUUGUGAUUGUGUGAGAGGCCAGACUAAUAAAGAGGUAGAGAAUAAUUUAACUCUGAUUUUUGAAAUGUGCCCGAUGGAGCCCUCAGGGUCCUAAGUCAAGGAUCACCAUGAAGCUGGAGGAGGAGGCUAAGUGGGCAGGGUCAUGGGAUCCCAUGUCUACUUCACCCACAUAAGUUCUGUGGCCCUAGACUAGACCUGGAAUCUUUGUUACACUCAGGACAACUAGUCUAGAAUAUUUUACUUCAAAGACUGUACUGAAAGAGGCUACAUAGGGAGGUCAAAGGCACCUGCUUCAGCUCUUUUAGCUAUGGUGAAAAAGUCAGGGAAUUAUCAAGAAUUCUGAGAGAAAUGUGACUGGACCCAUGCCAGGAAGAUGUCAGAACUACUAAGAAAUACCAAUGGGGUGGACUGUUAUCAACCCCAGCUGAAUGACAGGCCAUAUGCAAAGUCCUAGACUAUUAUGGCUCUUAGAUUUUCAGACUACACCCAGUUGAUUAAAUGAGUCUGUGUGAUAAAUUGAAAUGUAAAAGGUUAUUUUCAUGCCAUGGAGAUCUGCUCUUGUCGGAUAUAUUUUCAUCUGAAAAUAUCGAUUAAAAUGAUUAAUAUAGACAUAACAAAAAUGACUAACUUGCUUUAGAGAAAAGAUGAUAUCUCUUAGGAAUGAGCUUUAAAAUCUCACGAGCGGUUUUUGGCAACUGCAUAGCAGAACUAAAAAGAAUGCAGGUUAAGUAUCUCUUACCCAAAAUGUUUCACAAGUAAAAUAAAACAGAAGUGUAUCAGAUUUCAAAUUUUUUUUAAAUUUUGGAAUAUCUGCAUAAACAAUGAGAUAUCUUGGGGAUAGGGCCCAAGUUUAAACAUAAAAUUAAUUUCUGUUUCAUAUACAGCUUAUGUACAUAAGCUGAUGGUAAUUUUAUACAUAUUUUAAAUAAUUUUGUACAAGACACAAAGGUUUGAAUGCAUUUUUGAAUGCAACCUGUCACACGGUCAGGUAUGUGAAAUUUUCCACUUGUGGCAUCGUGUUGACACUCAAGAAGUUUUGGUUUUGGAGCAUUUUGGAUUUUGGAUUUUAUGUAUUAUAAGAUUGUAAGGUAAAAACUAUGCCCAGGAGAGGGCAGUGCAGCCUUCUGUAAAGUUAACUAAUAGGCCCAAUAGAAAAUAGUGUGAGCAUUAAGAGCAGAGAUGUUCUAAUUCAUGAAAACUAUUUUGUGUUAAGUCACUUUACCUUUUUAAAACAUGAGAGACAUACUGCCACUUCUAUGUCCCUUGAAGAGACAGCACAAGGGAGAGCUGCUUAAGUCUUGUAAAAAAAAAUUCUGGAAAACUUUAGCUCCCUAAAACUGAAGAAUUGUAUCAAAACUGAAGAACUGUAUCAGUUCUAGCAGGUUUCUACUGACUUUCCUAUUUUAAACAAUUAUCUUUGUUUCUGAAAACUGAUUCAAUAAACUAGUUUUUAAAAGAGAUUAAUGUCUAAAAUUUUAUUUGUUUAUAUUCUCCUUUAAUUUACACUGUACACAUCUCCAAGAGCUGAUGAAAGUAUUCUAAACGGUUUCCUGUGGAAAUCUGUAGUACAGA